GGAGGCGUCUGGGUGCCUGGUGGCCCCCCCGACCUUCAAAGUCGCGGUGUCCGAGGUCCUCGGACAGGCGGGUUCGAUUCCCGUCCGCCUCCGC
rnacentral:tRNA from 1 species